GGUGGCAUGGUAGCCUAGUCGUUAGAGCAUUGGACUAGUAAACGAAAGGUUGCAAGUUCAAAUCCCCGGGCUGACAAGGUACAAAUCUGUCGUUCUGCCCCUGAAUAGGCAGUUAACCCACUGUUCCUAGGCUGUCAUUGAAAAUAAGAAUUUGUUCUUAACUGACUUGCCUAGUUAAAUAAAGGUAAAGAAUGACACAUUUUGCUUAACCUGCUCCCGCGCAACACUCAUUCUAACGUUACACCUCUCAACUGCCAUUUUAAAUUCUUGAGUAUCUUGUUUUUCAGUAAUCUUCUAGCUUGGAUGAAGAAGGGAACAAAGAGAAGGAGUACAGAAGUUAUUCAGCCUGCUGACUAAAUAGCCUAUGAUUUGCUGUCUAGCUUUCUCUGUUUAUCUGCCUGACUGCCAGAUUGAUGAGGGGCAACAUAGUCAAACUGAGCUGGCCACCUGGCCAAGCUGAGCAAUCGGGGGGAGAAGGGCCUUGGUCAGGGAAGUGACCAAGAACCCGAUGGUCACGCUGACAGAGCUCUAGAGUUCCUCUGUGUAGAUGGGAGAGCCUUCCAGAAGGACAACCUCUCUGCAGCACUCCACCAAUCAGGCCUUUAUGGUAGAGUGGCCAGAACUCAGUAAAAGGCAAGACAGCAGUAAAAGGCACAUGCCAGCCUGCUUGGAGUUUGCCAAAAGGCACCUAAAGACUCUGACCAUGAGAAACAAGAUUCUCUGGUCUGAUGAAACCAAGAUUGAACUCUUUGGCCUGAAUGCCAAGCUUCACGUCUGGAGGAAACCUGGCACCAUCCCUACAGUGAGACGUGGUGGCAGAAUCAUGCUAUGGGGAUAUUUUUCAGUGGCAGGGACUGGGAGACUAGUCAGGAUCAAGGUAAAGAUGAACAGCGCAAAGUACAAAGAGAUCCUUGAUGAAAACCUGCUCCAGAGGACUCAGGACCUCAGACUGGGGCGAAGGAUCACCUUCCAACAGGACAACUUCCCUAAGCACACAGCCAAGACAACGCAGGAGUGGUUUCAGGACAAGUCUCUGUAUGUCCUUGAGUGGCCCAGCUAGAGGCCGGACUUGAACCCGUUCGAACAUCUCUGGAAAGACCUGAAAAAUAGCUGUGCAGCGACACUCCCCAUCCAACCUGAGAGGAUCUGCAGAGAAGAAUUGGAGAAACUCCCCAAAUACAGGUGUGCCAAGCUUGUAGCAUUAUACCCAAGAAGACACCAGGCUGUAAUUGCUGCCGAAGGUGCUUCAACAAAGUACUGAGUAAAGGGUCUGGAUACUUGUGAUAUUUCUUAAAACCUGUUUUUGUUUUUGGGAUAUUUUUUUGUAGAUUGAGGGGAAAAAAAGAUUUAAUCCAUUUUAGAAUAAAACUAUAACGGAACUAAAUGUGGAAAAUGUCAAGGGGUCUGAAUACUUUCUGAAUGCACUGUACUUGCCAGGCUAAGAGUAACUUAGUGAAGACCUUAGGUAAUGGUUAAUCAUGAUUAAUCUGUCUUUACAGUUCCUGAAAAAUGUCAAUGACCUUAUGUAUGGCCUAUACAGCAGUGCUUGGCCACCCACUCCGCUACCAAGUGACCUAUUCUGCCACAACCCAGUGAGAGUCCAGAACCACCACUCCUUAAAUACAUAUUGACAGUGCAAAACCCUUGUCCUGAUUCAAGGCUCCUCUCUUGUGGUCACCAACUGGACGAUCUUCAAGGCAUUCCUAGUCAAUCACCAAACAUUUGUGUAGAAAACCCAACGAUGAAUGCUGUGGUGUGGCGUACCGCAGACAAGCCACCAGGGGGAGACUUGUCGAGGCGUGGUGAGAUGGAUCACGUGGCAGUGGCUCCCUCUGCUGGACGUGUCAGGUCUCGACAGGUCCUACGGACAGGACUAAUUGGGGCUGCUUUAGGCUGAGUGACUGGUUUGGCUAAAACCCUUCUCCAGAAUUCUGCUCAAUGACCCAGGAGCCUCGGCUGUGAUCAACCUCAAAUUAACCCUUAUGAAGUCAAUGAAAAUUGCAUGAAAGAGACUGUAAUUCCCCUAAAAAGUUUAAAUAUACAGUAUAUUUCUGAUGUAUUUACUUUAACACAUUUUGUGUCAAAUGUUUUGUAUACCUGUGCAGAUAAUUGAUUCAAAUGUAUAACUAUUGGGCCUACUUAUGUCCCUAGAUCUUGUAUUUUAUAUAUAAAAAAGAAAUAUCCUCAAGUUGAACUAUAAAGUUUUCAAAAAAAUUGGUUAAAAAAGUGAAUGCAUUUUUGUUAUCAAUGUUUUAGGUUCUCAUUGUAAAAGAGAAUGCGUUCUCAAUGACUUACCUGGUUAAAUAAAGGAUAAGUACAUACAAAAUAGUUGGGUAAGUUGAGCCUCCCUUGUUUGUAGGAAACCAUACACAAAAUGUAUCCUUUGACCAAAUGGUCCCGUCUGGCUCAGUUGGUAGAGCAUGGUGCAUGCAAAGGGUUGUGGUUUUGAUUCCCAUGGUGGACCAGCACAAAAAUCUAUGCACUCAAUUUAAGUCACUCUGGUUAAGAGCGUCUGCUAAAUGGUAAAUGUAAAAAAAUAUGUCUGAAGAAAGACACCACAUGGAAAAAGUGGUAGGCAAGUUAGGUCCAAGCCAAAUAAUUGUGUUGUGUUGGAGGUUUUAUGAUGCUUGUAUUUAAAUCAAAAAGUAGAUACUUUAAGAUUGUUCUAUACAUCAGUUGGGGUCGUAAGCUACAAUAUGAGGUCCUAAACAUAGCAUGAAAGCAGCUUCCUUGUAGCUGUGUGUGCUAAUAUAGUCAAAAUGUUUGCCUUGGUGUAAGUUGAGCCAACAAUCAUGGGGUAAGUUUAGCAAAUUAAAGUGUUUUCUUCUCACAUGUAAUGCAAGGUAUUAUUGCUGGGAUAUGUUAAAGUGUACAAAUUAUACAAAGUGUUUGUUAGGUGUUAAGCCUGUGUUAAAAGGUGCUUAAAAUUAUUAAAAGAAAAAAAAGCUAUUGUGUUAAAUUGUA